rnacentral:lncRNA from 1 species
AAAAUAGUCAUUGGCAUCUUUAAUGCUUUGUUCAUCUUCCUGGCUUUAGUUCUUAAAGUGUGACUUUGUGUCUCAGCCAGACCCUUCCCCCCUCUGUGAAUUUGGGUGGGGGUUAGCCCUGUCAGGUUUUCUAGUGCAGCUAUAUGGGUGUGGUAGGAAGACUAUCUCCUAAAAUCUGUAGCUUUGCCUGCUAGGCUAUUAAAAUGAAUUAAAACCAUCCUCAAGACACAAUUGGCUUAGGCUUAUUAGCAUCACUUCUUGGUCACCUGCAUAAAGAAGCCAGAAGAAAUCCCAGCUACUCUCCAGUGCUUGGCUGACAGACUAACAUGGAUAAUUCAGGGGCAUGGGAAUUCUGUUCAGCUGAAUCAAUACAAGUGUCCUCACUGCGUAUCCUUCCAGAAUAUUCUUUUCCUGCUAUGGCUAAUGAGCAUCAUGCAACUCUGGGACUACCACCAAGGUAUUGUCAAGUCUUUUAUCACCCUGGCAACACAGCAGCUACUCUCAUAUGGUCACUAAGGGUAUACUAGAAAGAGAAGAACUUAAUUUCAAAUUGCAAUUGACACUGACCACAUGUGCAAGCAAAGUAUUGUGAUGUGAUUCAAGGACCUCUGAGACAUCCUCCUUCCUAAAAUCUCUUCACCUCCCUCCAAAGAGUUACUGUUGUGUUAUACUGUAAAGGUGAGUGUUGUCUACUGAAGACCACAUUUAAAAUGCAUGAAAGUGUUAGUAAACUCUUUAACCCUUUUCUAGUAUCAUAUUAAAGAUUUCUGAAUCAGAAACAAGUGAGUUAGACUUAAUUAAUCCUAGUGUUCCUACCAAAUCUAAGAUUUGCUUGUUAU